UACCCGCAGCACAAGUGGUGGUCAUUAUUAUUGGGCCUAAAGCGUCCGUAGCUGGCCUGUUAGAUGCCUGGGUAAAUCGAUGCGCUCAACGUAUCGACUUCCGGGUAGACCGGCAGGCUCGAGACCGGGAGAGGUGUAGGCUACUCGCGGGGUAGGGGUAAAAUCCUGUAAUCCUGCGGGGAGGACCAGUGGCGAAGGCGCUACACUAGAACGGCUCUGACAGUGAGGGACGAAGCCCUGGGGCGCAAACCGG
rnacentral:rRNA from 1 species